rnacentral:rRNA from 1 species
AGGGAAUAUUGCGCAAUGGGCGAAAGCCUGACGCAGCCACGCCGCGUGAGUGAGGAAGGCCUUCGGGUUGUAAAGCUCUGUCAUUCGGGAAAAACGGCUAUCCGGGGAAAGUUCGGGUAGCGUGAUGGUACCGAAGAAGGAAGCACCGGCAAACUCUGUGCCAGCAGCCGCGGUAAUACAGAGGGUGCAAGCGUUGUUCGGAAUUACUGGGCGUAAAGCGUGCGUAGUCGGUAUUGAGAGUCGCGGGUGAAAGCCCAGGGCUUAACCCUGGAACUGCCUGCGAGACCUCAGUACUAGAGUGUGAGAGGGGAUAGUGGAAUACCCAGUGUAGCGGUGAAAUGCGUAGAGAUUGGGUGGAACACCGGUGGCGAAGGCGGCUAUCUGGCUCACAACUGACGAUCAGGCACGAAAGCGUGGGGAGCAAAC